GGGGGAGUAGCUCAAUGGUCAGAGCGGUGGGCUUAUAUCCCGCUGGUUCCAGGUUCGAGUCCUGGCUCCCCUACCA
rnacentral:tRNA from 1 species